UGGGGAUGACGUCAAGUCAUCAUGGCCUUACGGCCUGGGCUACACACGUGCUACAAUGGUCGGUACAAAGGGUUGCCAAGCCGCGAGGUGGAGCUAAUCCCAUAAAACCGAUCGUAGUCCGGAUCGCAGUCUGCAACUCGACUGCGUGAAGUCGGAAUCGCUAGUAAUCGUGAAUCAGAAUGUCACGGUGAAUACGUUCCCGGGCCUU
rnacentral:rRNA from 1 species